AUACGGAGGAUCCGAGCGUUAUCCGGAUUUAUUGGGUUUAAAGGGAGCGUAGGCGGACGCUUAAGUCAGCUGUGAAAGUUUGGGGCUCAACCUUAAAAUUGCAGUUGAUACUGGUUUCCUUGAGUACGGUACAGGUGGGCGGAAUUCGUGGUGUAGCGGUGAAAUGCUUAGAUAUCACGAAGAACUCCGAUCGCGAAGGCAGCUCACCGGGCCGGAACUGACACUGAUGCUCGAAAGUGCGGGUAUCAAACAGGAUUAGAUACCCUGGUAGUCCACACAGUAAACGAUGAAUACUCGCUGUUUGCGAUAUACAGUAAGCGGCCAAGCGAAAGCAUUAAGUAUUCCACCUGGGGAGUACGCCGGCAACGGUGAAACUCAAAGGAAUUGACGGGG
rnacentral:rRNA from 1 species